UGUGCACCAGUCGAGAAUUUUUCUCAAUGGGGGAAACCCUGAAGGAGCGACGCCGCGUGGAGGAUGAAGGUCUUCGGAUUGUAAACUCCUGUCAUUGGGGAACAAUGCGUAAAUAUUAACUGUAUUUGCGUUGAUAGUACCCGAAGAGGAAGAGACGGCUAACUCUGUGCCAGCAGCCGCGGUAAUACAGAGGUCUCAAGCGUUGUUCGGAUUCAUUGGGCGUAAAGGGUGCGUAGGCGGCGCGGUAAGUCGGGUGUGAAAUCUUGGAGCUUAACUCCGAAACUGCAUUCGAUACUGCCGUGCUUGAGGACUGGAGAGGAGACUGGAAUUUACGGUGUAGCGGUGAAAUGCGUAGAUAUCGUAAGGAAGACCAGUGGCGAAGGCGGGUCUCUGGACAGUUCCUGACGCUGAGGCACGAAGGUCAGGGGAGCAAACGGGAUUAGAUACCCCGGUAGC
rnacentral:rRNA from 1 species